GAGAGUCGCAGAUACCAGGUGGCUGCAACUGUUUAUUAAAAACACAGCACUGUGCAAAAUCGUAAGAUGACGUAUACGGUGUGACGCCUGCCCGGUGCCGGAAGGUUAAUUGAUGGGGUUAGACUUCGGUCGAAGCUCUUGAUCGAAGCCCCGGUAAACGGCGGCCGUAACUAUAACGGUCCUAAGGUAGCGAAAUUCCUUGUCGGGUAAGUUCCGACCUGCACGAAUGGCGUAAUGAUGGCCACGCUGUCUCCACCCGAGACUCAGUGAAAUUGAAAUCGCUGUGAAGAUGCAGUGUACCCGCGGCUAGACGGAAAGACCCCGUGAACCUUUACUACAGCUUGGCACUGAACAUUGACCCUACAUGUGUAGGAUAGGUGGGAGGCUUUGAAGCACGUACGCCAGUAUGUGUGGAGCCGUCCUUGAAAUACCACCCUUGUAGUGUUGAUGUUCUAACGUCGACCCCUAAUCGGGGUUGCGGACAGUGCCUGGUGGGUAGUUUGACUGGGGCGGUCUCCUCCCAAAGAGUAACGGAGGAGCACGAAGGUGGGCUAAUCACGGUUGGACAUCGUGAGGUUAGUGCAAUGGCAUAAGCCCGCUUGACUGCGAGAAUGACAAUUCGAGCAGGUGCGAAAGCAGGUCAUAGUGAUCCGGUGGUUCUGAAUGGAAGGGCCAUCGCUCAACGGAUAAAAGGUACUCCGGGGAUAACAGGCUGAUACCGCCCAAGAGUUCAUAUCGACGGCGGUGUUUGGCACCUCGAUGUCGGCUCAUCACAUCCUGGGGCUGAAGUCGGUCCCAAGGGUAUGGCUGUUCGCCAUUUAAAGUGGUACGCGAGCUGGGUUUAGAACGUCGUGAGACAGUUCGGUCCCUAUCUGCCGUGGGCGUUGGAAGAUUGAAGGGGGCUGCUCCUAGUACGAGAGGACCGGAGUGGACGAACCUCUGGUGUUCGGGUUGUGUCGCCAGACGCAUUGCCCGGUAGCUAAGUUCGGAAUCGAUAACCGCUGAAAGCAUCUAAGCGGGAAGCGAGCCCUGAGAUGAGUCUUCCCUGAUACUUUAAGUAUCCUAAAGGGUUGUCGGAGACUACGACGUUGAUAGGUCAGGUGUGUAAGUGCUGUGAGGCAUUGAGCUAACUGAUACUAAUUGCCCGUGAGGCUUAACCAU
rnacentral:rRNA from 2 species